rnacentral:rRNA from 1 species
CCUACGGGUGGCAGCAGUGAGGAAUAUUGGUCAAUGGGCGCGAGCCUGAACCAGCCAAGUCGCGUGAAGGAUGACUGCCCUACGGGUUGUAAACUUCUUUUAUAAAAGAGUAAAGUGAGGCACGUGUGCUUUUUUGUAUGUACUGUAUGAAUAAGGAUCGGCUAACUCCGUGCCAGCAGCCGCGGUAAUACGGAGGAUCCGAGCGUUAUCCGGAUUUAUUGGGUUUAAAGGGAGCGUAGAUGGGUUGUUAAGUCAGUUGUGAAAGUUUGCGGCUCAACCGGAGAAUUGCAAUUGAUACUGGCAGUCUUGAGUGCAGUUGAGGUAGGCGGAAUUCGUGGUGUAGCGGUGAAAUGCUUAGAUAUCACGAAGAACGCCGAUUGCGAAGGCAGCUUACUAAACUGUCACUGACGUUGAGGCUCGAAAGUGUGGGGAGCAAACAGGAUUAGAUACCCCAGUAGUC